rnacentral:rRNA from 1 species
GACGAACGCUGGCGGCGUGCCUAAUACAUGCAAGUCGAACGCAGUGGGGACGGGUGCGUAACACGUGGGUAACCUCCCAUCAGAGGGGAUAACCCUUGGCAACAGGUGCUAAACCGCUACUGAUGGAUGGACCCGGUUGGCAUUAGCUAGUUGGUGGGGUAACGGCUCACCAAGGCCACGAUGCUUAGCCGGCCUGAGAGGAGGAUCGGCCACACUGGGACUGAGACACGGCCCAGACUCCUACGGGAGGCAGCAGUGGGGAAUCUUCGGCAAUGGACGAAAGUCUGACCGAGCAACGCCGCGUGAGUGAAGAAGGUUUUCGGGUCGUAAAACACUGUUGUUAGAGAAGCGGUAUCUAACCAGAAAGCCACGGCUAACUACGUGCCAGCAGCCGCGGUAAUAC